UACGUAGGGUGCGAGCGUUUGUCCGGAAUUAUUAGGGCGUAAAGAGCUCGUAGGCGGUUUGUCGCGUCUGCCGUGAAAGUCCGGGGCUCAACUCCGGAUCUGCGGUGGGUACGGGGCAGACUAGAGUGAUGGUAGGGGAGACUGGAAUUCCUGGUGUAGCGGUGAAAUGCGCAGAUAUCAGGAGGAACACCGGUGGCGAAGGCGGAUCUCUGGGCCUUACCUGACGCUGAGGAGCGAAAGCUGGGGAGCAAACAGG
rnacentral:rRNA from 1 species